rnacentral:rRNA from 1 species
CUACGGGGGGCUGCAGUGAGGAAUUUUGCGCAAUGGGGGAAACCCUGACGCAGCAACGCCGCGUGAGUGAAGAAGGCCUUUGGGUCGUAAAGCUCUGUCAACAGGGAAGAAGUUACGAUUGUUUAAUAGAUGAUUGUAUUGACGGUACCUGUGGAGGAAGCGCCGGCUAACUCCGUGCCAGCAGCCGCGGUAAUACGGGGGGCGCAAGCGUUAUUCGGAAUUAUUGGGCGUAAAGGGCGCGCAGGCGGUCUUGUCCGUCAGGUGUGAAAGCUCGGGGCUCAACCCCGGAAGUGCACUGAAACAGCAAGACUUGAAUACGGGAGAGGAGAGAGGAAUUCCUGGUGUAGAGGUGAAAUUCGUAGAUAUCAGGAGGAACACCGAUGGCGAAGGCAUCUCUCUGGACCGAUAUUGACGCUGAGGCGCGAAGGCGUGGGUAGCGAACGGGAUUAGAUACCCCUGUAGUC